CCUGCGGGUCCUUAUGAAAUGAAAUGUGAGAUCUCCUUCGAGUCAUCUCAAAUAUGUUAGAGUAUUCGAUUGAUCACCGAUUGCUCUUGAUGGAAUGAUGGUCAGAUUGGUCAACGUGGAUGGUGGCUGAGUGGUGCGCAGGUUGCCAAGUAAAAGAAAUUUUUUUAGGAAUCCAUAAUAAAUUUGUUAAGACAUUUUAUGUUUCUCUUUAAUUCCAUUCAUGACACUAUGUUUAUUUGAUUCAGUGUUUGAGUUUCAAUAAAUUAAGGUUUUAAGUUUUAAA